AUCUCCUCAGAACAAAAACAAAACAAAAAAAAAAAAAAAGAAAAACGUGUGAUUGCGUCUAAUUUUUCUGCGGCUGACAUCAUCCUCUAAGCUCCCUGAAACGAGCCUCCAGAACCCUGAGUUAAGCUGGACUACCUGGAGAAAAGCCACGCAAGCACAGGGAAAAACUCCCUGAGCAUUCCUUGGGCCACGGUGAGCCACGUCAGACGGCAGCCAAACCAGUAUCACAGCUGUCCAAAACCUGCGAUCAUCACAAGCACGCAGGCCAUUUUAAGCAUCGUCACCUUGACCUUUGACCUUCAUUCAAGAGCCCCGUCAACGAUGUCAAUGUUUGAACUUCCUGAAUGGAGCGACCGGCGCAUCGCCUUGCAGCCUCUCGUCUGUGGUGAGCAUGAGUAAAUGUCUGUCAAGUGGAAUUCUACUGAAGAUUCGGCCCUUAGAGACCAGUGAAUGGGACAUGGAAAGACUUGAGCUUGGCUUCUUUUCAGCGCGCUCGCUUUUGUUGCAUCACGUCUCUCUUUUUUGUCCGAGUCCAAACGUCUCUUCAUUAAGCACCCAGGCGGCAAAAUGUCUCGACUUGACCGCUGUACAGUGGCUUACCAACCGCCCUCCUCAUACGGCCCCACAACUUUGGGAACACACCUAGACAAUCCAAUCCGUAGAAUAAACCCUUCACUUUUGAUUGACACUGCCAGAGACGGAGAGGUGCAGUAUUAAUAUUGCGGGUGUCACAUUGACCUCACAAGUGUUCUUCAUUCGGUGUUUGGUCUUUUGCCGUUAGCCCCAACGGACAGUCACCACCGCCCCCUGCUGGGAACGCAACGUCUGCAACCCAAUAGAUGGAUGGAUGAAAUGAGAUGCCGCAUGUUAUACAUUUUCACAGCCGUAAUGUGAUUCCGAGGGGAACAUAACUACGACUUGUGACAAAAAAUGAGUUGCCCCCCGCUGCUUAUAUAACUAAGCUUCGACUUUCUAAUGAGUCCAAUGCUUUUGUCAAUGUCGGGAAUGAAAAAGGAUGUGAGUGCAAGCAAAUAAGACACAGUCUUAGAAGUGAACCACCACACCAUCAUUUAACCAUUACGUUGAAGUCGAGGGACUCCGAAUGCCACUGCAGGCGCCAUAGCAACAUCGACACAAGGAGGAAAAAAA